AGUUUUCAUUCAUCAUUUCAUGUAUUGGAGGGUGAGAAUGGUUGGGUUUCUUGGCUGGACUCUGCUCUCUGUGUGCCUGCUGGUUUCUGCCUCGCAAGACCAGAAAAACAUCACAGCUGAGUCUGGACAGAACGUCACGCUGACAUGUCGAGCUUCAAACAACAUCAGGACUGUGGAGUGGAGCAGAGCUGACCUGGGAGAGAAAUAUGUUUUUUUGUAUCGGGAUGGGAGGAAAACGACAGUGAACCAGCAUCUAUCUUUUAAGGACCGGGUGGAUCUACAGGACAAACAGAUGAAGGAUGGAGACGUGUCUGUGAUUCUGAAGGAUGUGACGAUUAAUGACAGUGGAACAUACAAGUGUCGUGUCGUUGAGAAAGGAACACUUGGUUUGAAGCCCAUCAGCAUCAUCAGACUGAGUGUUGUUGAUCCUCCAGGUCCACCAGGAGGACCAAAGAAGGAUGAACCUGUUGGACUGAAAGUUGGUCUGUUAGUUUCUGGCGUCCUCAUUGUUGCUGCUUUUGCUGGGUUUGUGAUCUACAGAAAGCAUAAAGGAGAAAAGAGUCAGGGUUCACACUAACCUCCUGAUGAUCUGCAGUACAUCUAAGUAUCUCAGACCUCUGAACAGCUAAACUUUGAGUCUCCUGCUGCUUUCUCAACUUCCAAGUGAUAUCAGUGAACAGGGGGACAGACACCAGGGACCUCACAAAGAAAUUAAUUGUGAAGUGUCACCAUAAAAUGUUAUUCUGUCUUAUCUCUGGGUAUGGAGAUGAUGGAAAGUCUUUGUGAGGAAUGCAGAGUAAAGAAAAUCUAAGAGAAAACAGAGAAUUCUGCUGAUUCAACAGUUAUUGUCUAAUUUUGCUGCAUCCAGCUUACA
ensembl:lncRNA